rnacentral:rRNA from 1 species
AGCUAUCUUUCGGGGUGGUCAAUUGGUUGUUAUAUCUCCACUAAUAAGCAGAGAGGGGUAAAACUCUCAAAGUAAGUUAUGUGGGUCAAGGUAUGAUGAUUAAUUGGAGUUCUAGUUCAUUUACUUUGAGAAAAUUAGAGUGUUUAAAGCAGCCUCUUGGGGAACUGAAUACAUUAGCAUGGGAUAAUAAAAUAGGAUCUUCACAAUAUAUUUUAUUGGUUUAAAUUGGAUAUGAAGAUAAUGAUUAAUAGGGACAGUUGGGGGUAUUCAUAUUGGGUGGUUAGCGGUGAAAUGCUCGGAUCCAUUCAAGAUGAACUAAAGCGAAGGCAUUUACCAAGGAUGUUUUCAUUAAUCAAGAACGAAAGUUAAGGGAUCGAAGACGAUUAGAUACCGUCGUAGUCUUAACUAUAAACUAUGCCGACCAGGGAUAUGAGUUGUUAGGAUUACACGCAAGUGUAAUCAAUUUCUUCUUAUGAACCUUGUGAGAAAUCAUAAGUUUUUGGGUU